GUGGAGAGGCAGAGCGCAGGCAGUGGAUAAAUUCGUAGAUGUGGAAUUUCUGGAUCAAAUGGAGGAGAUUGGACAACUGAGAGAGCUCUUGGAAGUGGGGAAGAGGGGAAGAGGGCUUCGUUCCCAGUGUGUAUUUGCCACCUAGUGACCAUAGUGAAUGGUGAUAUUUGUGCUUCUCAGCUCAGCCUGGUGGCCUGACCUUAACUCCCGAGUUCUGUGGUCCCGUCACAACUGCAAGUCAUUCUCAAGCAAACGUUGAGUUGACCUAGUGUGCACCUUUGAGAGUUUUGGAACAAUAUGCAAGUUUAAGUCACCAUCAUGUCAUCUUGCUGACGAUCUCAUGGGACAAGACCAACACUGGGGUUGCUUGCUUCUGCCCUUGGUCUUCCACCUGUCCUUCCCUCUGCUGCCAUUGAUCGCACACACGUGUUGUCAUACAAAAGCUGUUUUGCUUUUCUUUUUUGUCUUGUGAAUGUUGUCCUUGGCUUCGUAUACAUCACAGAUUAGUGUCGUGUGCUGCACAGUGAUCUAAAAACUUUCAAUACUUGUAAAUUUGCAUAAGUUUGAGUAAGAAUGGCAUCCAAGCAGCAAAGCAAGAAUACAGAUGAUAGAAAUGCAAGAAGAGCAACGAGGGCAAGAAAAGGGAUGUCUAUAGCAAACAAAAUGAAAGUUCUUGAAAUGCUUGAUAAUGGUGAAACUGAGACACCUGUAGGGUGUUUUUGGGGUGUUAAUAGAUCUGUAAUUUGCACAGUAAAGAAAAAUGAGAAAGCUAUUGGGGCCAGUGUAUUGAGGGGCACACCAGAAUCAUUGAGAAAAUCAUACAUAGCUUGAAAUGUCAAAGGAGAGACAAUGGGAAAUAUUGGCCUGGGUCGUUUCUAAUGCAGAGAAAGCUGAAUAGGCCUCCUCCUGUAUGCAUCAUCUGCCAGUGAGCAUCACACAAAUGCAAGUUUCAGUUUCGAUCUGGACCAAACGUUGUAACGUUCAUCGCCAGUAAUGGGUGGUUGGAUAGCUUUGAGAAACGCUAUGGUCUGUGUGACAAGAAAUGGCUGGCAGAGGAAGUGGGUCGUGAAGCUGCCGCCAAGUAUCCUGAAUACCUGAAGAAGCUGAGGAAAAUGGCUGUGUCUUCAGCGCCCAUGAGCUGGCCCCACGCCGGAAGGGCGUGCCUACUUGCACAUCUAUUGCAAAGGAUGAGAAAAAGACCAGAGGCUUCCAGCCCGGAGAAGACAAGCUCAAAGUUCUGUUUCGUUCCAGUGCUUCUGGCUACUUUUCAGAGUAAAUCCAUGUUGCUUCGCAGAUUCCGAAAUCCUUGCCCUCUUCAAAAAGAAUGCUAAAAACACUUUUCUGUUUACAUGGAGGGAAACCAUAAAAUAUGGGCCACUGAGAAACUCUUUUUCGGACUGGUUUUUGAAGUGUUUUGUUCCUGAGGUUAAACUAUAUUUAAACCGAAAAAAUCAUGAAUUCAAAGUGUCACUGAUUCCGGACACAGCUGCCACUGACAAAAGUGCGAUAGUAACCGCUGAUCGUCGUGUUCCAGUCAUCUCCAUUCCCCCCGGUACGACUCCACUCCUUCAUCCCGUGCAUCUGGGAGUGCUAAAGAUUGUUCACGAUGUCCUGGACUUGGAGUACAUUUGAUUUCCUCGAAGAUCAAAUGAAAGAGACCCCGGAACUUACUGUGAAAGUAGCUUGGCAAAAUUUCUCCAUUUGUAAUGCUUUAAUGGUAGUAGAAGAAUCGGUGGGAGAAAUAACACAGUCACCCCCUAAUGGGGCCGGACAGCAACUUCAGAAUGAGGUUGUAACGGACUGUGAAAGUUUUCUUCCAGUGGUAGAAGAAACUGAAAAUGUUGUAGCAUCUGCAAAGCAUUUUGGGGGGAGGGGAAGUGUAGGAUUUGAAGACAUUGAAUGAAGUGACAUUUUGCUGAACUGUUAGAUUCUCACCCUCAGAAGACAGUUGAGAAAUUUUUCCGAGAUAUGAUCAUAUCAAAAAUUGAUAGAAGAGGUCAGCGUAGGUUAACAUCCAGAACUCGAAGAAUGUUGAAGCAGCCCCUCUGCAAAUGAAAUGGCUGUAGUGAUUCAGAGGAAGGGGAGAAGAGGCUGGACCUUCGGACCUCGUCAUUCCAACCCUUUCCUCAAACAGCCGGCAGAAAGGCAGAAGAUGAAAGUAGUGCAGAAGACUGAGCUUACUUAUCUCCAGACAAAACCCAAGUGUCCUGAUUCUUCCCCCAUAUCUGCGUUUGCAUUGACGCCAUGAUUGUCCUCACCUUGAGAUCAGAGAGAAAUAGAAAAUAAUUGCCCAGUAAUCACUACUGCUAAUGUAAAAUUAGGAAAAUACCAACAAGCUUCAGUUUGCUUGGUGUUUUAUUUGAGGGAACAAACCAAUUGUCUGGGUUGUCCUGAUACUCCCUUGCCUGCCCCAGUUUUCCCCUGAAAGCUUGUGAAUCCCUCCCACACAAAUUCCUCUACUGCCAGGGUUUCAGGAACUCAGCUCUCAUACCUAGGGAGGGGAGCUACUCUACUUGGCUGCACAAUUUGGCUUUGUACUCUUGAUCCUGAACUUUAUUUCAAUUCUGAUUCAGCCUAACUUGUAUUUCAACAGAAAGAAUCCAGACCCUUGCCUUUUACCUGGUUUGGUAUCAGUGCACUUGCCUUGCAGCGGUUGUGUGAGGUAGCUGUCGGUCAGUCCCGAAGGGCAGUGCAUUUAGAAUGGACUCCUGCAUUUACUUUCGUAUCUAAUCAAGGAGUAGAAGCUGCUAGAGUUCAUUUCCAUAGAUCUUGUCUGUCCUCAUAUCUGGUCCUUGCGGCGAUUUGAACAUUUGACUAUCCUCUGGGAAAGCGAUUCUGACUGAAACUUCUUCUUCCCUAAAGGUGGUGGAAAUCCAGUAAUCCACCCCACCCCCAGCCUGGAGGUCUGAAUGAUGGGUUACCUAUGCCUGAGUUUGACGUGAUCAGGGGAAAGGGGAAAAAAUACGAAAGUUAAAAGGGCUUGCUUGCAUAGUUACAGUUGAGAUGACAGACAUUCCUCAACAGGUUCAAAAGAGGCAGAUGAGAGUCAAAAACUCAUUUUCGGGUGCUGUGGAUCUAGUGACACCCCCCCCCCAGUGCCAGCGAAGCUUACACGCUUGUUCUAAGCCACAGUAGUUCUCAACGCAUCCAGAUCAAGUUGGGGAGCUUUAAAAAUUACAGAUUUCUGGGACCUGCCCCUAGAUGUGCUGAAUCAGGGAUGGGGUCAGCAUCUGUUUAUUUUGAAAGCUCCUCAACUGAUUUUUUCAUAUAGUUGUAGUUGCCAACUGCUGUUCUAAGUCUAAACAGAAUUGCACUAGAAAAUACAAUGCAAAUGGUAGUGGGCCCAGGAGCUAGGAAACCUUGAUUCCAAAUUUUGUCUUCACCACUAGUUCAAUGGAUGGUCUUAUUCAAAUCACCCUACUCUUUCCUUAUCCGUCAAAUGAGAGAUUAGGACCACUUGGUCUCUAAGGUCCCUCUAUCUCUGACAUUGUUACUUUGAGAGAAAGCUGCAUCAGUCUCAUUGGUUGACUUUGAGUGUACCUGAGCCCUUUCACAGAGACCAAGGUAAGUAGUAUUGUUGCUGCACUGUGUUCUUGAUAUUUUAAAAAUUGUGCUUCUGGUUCAAGUUUGACCAUGGUUUAGUCCCUUCCAGAAAAGAGAGGCAUAGAAAAAAGAGAAACAAACAUAGCAUCAAUUUCCUGAAAAGGAAGACAGAGGGGACUUCCUGUGAGUUUCUUAUUUGUAAUAAUUGCUACUUUUCUUCUGAGUUACAGGGCUUGGGGCAAACAAUAGAUAUUAUGAGGAAAACACCUUAACAUGUUGUGUCUAUUGUUUUCAUAAACCAAAGCAGAAAGAACUUUGUGUCAGGGUUGCUGUUCCAAGGUUCCAAGGAUAAUUGGUGUAUUCUUAAUCAUAUCUAGAGGUAAAUAGUUUUAAGUCAAUGAUUGUUUUACCAGUAUAAUCAGUGGUUCCAUAUGCCUUUAGAGAAUGUGGUUUCCUGAUAAUUUUACCGUUCAUUGAGAUUACUGCCUUGGCAUUUUUUUCUCUUAAUUUGACCAGAAUUAGAGAAAGCAAAUUUAAGUUGAAGAGCAUCAACCGGGAACCAUUAGUAGAAAAUACUACAAUGGGUAACUGACAAUUAUAUGAGUUUAGUUGUCAUAGGAAUGCUUCGACUUUGGCUUGGUAAGAUGCAAAUGUUCUCCUAGGGCCCAGGCCAUUUGAAAUAAAUUAUUGAGAUAAAUCUAAUUCUUAUUUAAGGUAAUACCCAGUUAAAGUAGUCUGAGAAGUAUCAUCGAUGAGGAUAAAAGCCAGGAAAUUUCAAUAUGGCUGAAUUUAACAAGUGAGCAGAACUUACAGGCAGAUUUGAAAGUUGGUAUGGGCUAAGUGGUAGAAAUAGAAAUGCAUGGCAACAUGGCCAUGUAACUGGGCGUUUCUCUUUUUCUUUUUCAAAUUAAGAAUAGUCCCCAAAAUUGACAAGCUAAAAUUUCUUUUAGAAGAUUUUACACACAGUUUGAGUGAGAAGAAUCUUCCUUUUGUCAAAUGGUUCAGGUAAAGUCUUGUGUUCACUAUUAUGAAGGGCAUGGCAGUUUCCUUCUUUACAGACAUAUUUAACCACUGGCAAAAAGAAAGGAAAAGGAGGUGGGGAGAAAGAAGAGCCCAAGCUGCUGAAUUUUGUAGAGAAGAUUAGAAAACCGGCAUUACAUUUAAAAAGAGUCUUUUGUUUGUUUAAGAUCUUUUAAGUUCACAAUGCAGAGAAGGCUCUUUAAACCACACAUUGGGAUUACAGAGCUGCCACCACCUGAAUGCUAAUAAAGGGCUUCGAGGAGAGUGUGUACAGUGGAAAGGAGUGUGUGAACGAUGUUUGUGCUACGGAAUACACUGAUCACUGAACUUUACAUGGAGUUACCUUUUAAUGGUCUCGAUGUCAAUGUGCUUGUUUACCUAAGAAUCCAAAAAUAAAUUGUGGUACGAACAGAGUGUAUAUGUUCUUGGGAGCCAUAAAAUCCAAUAGAAAAUAGAUGAAAGGCUAAACAGUACAUUUCAUUACCAUGAACAAUGAAUGUUGAGGAAUUACAUAUGAAUCUAGUUGUGCUCAAGACGUUGCACUUCGUCUUUCUUGCAUUACUGCGUAAAGUCCGUGAUAUAAUUAACCCAUUUUUGCAAACACCUAGAGUUGGCUCUUGGUCACUUGGCAGUGAUGUGAUGAGGACCAUAAUGAGAAGAACAUGGGACUUAGGUAAGGGGGGCUUUGCUACUUCCUGUCUGCCCUGGGUGGGGCACUCCCUCUCUUUGGGUGAGUGGUGCUUAGUCCUGGCAGGAUAACCCUUGGGCUGUCGGGGUGUGACAAGUCAGCCUAGGGCCGAGACUGUGGAAUCAGACCUGCUUUCAAUCCUGUUCCUGCCAGUUACCAGCCAUGUGACUGGGGACGUGCCUCUUAACCAUUUCAGACUUGAGUUUCUAAUCUGUAAAACGGGGUCAAAAAUACCUGCAUUAUAGGAUUGCUAUGAGAUUAUAAGAAAUGCUUAGUACAGUGCCUGGCACAUAGCAAGCGCUCGAUAAAUUGUUGCAAUUAUUAUCAUUAUCAUUAUUAUUAUUAUUAUUAGCAUCAUAGAGUUAAAUAUGAUAGUUUACUCCUGUUUUUGCAAAAUUUUAAUAUUUAGAUAUUUUACCUAAUUUCCCUCAAAAAAUGGUAGCAUGAUGUAGUUUUAAGAAGAGAGAAGGAAUAAAAAUUGAUUUUCAGUAUUUUUCUUUGCUUGUGAAAGAGACCUGAAACAGUAAUUCCUUUGUCCCUAUGUUACUCUUUGACCUACAGCUUCAUUUAUAUAUGAUUUACUUAGAAUGCAGUUACCAUUGCAUGAUACUUAUUUAUAUAGUGGUUACUUUUAAUGACUUUUUUCACAUGGAUGUAUUCCUAUUCUCUAGAAAAUAAUCGGUCCACUUGGUUCCACUUUUGAGAUAAUGAAGUCACACUGUGUUAAUAAGAGCUAAAGAUAAAACUAUGCAGGAUCUACUUUGCUUAAACCACCAAGUUAUUAGCUUUGCUGCCUUUGAGAGAAAAUUGGGAUAUCCAAGCAGUGUUACUAGGGUUUCCAAUGGCGCCAGUGUCAAGGUCUUCCAACAACUCCAGGUCUUCCAGCAACUCCAAGUCUUCCAACAAAUUCCAAGUCUUCCAACAGCAUCAAGGUCUUCCAGCUAAUCCUUGUCUUCCAGAAAAUUCACGUCUUCCAGAUAAUCCACGUCUUCCAGUAAUUAUAGGUCUUCCACAAAAUCCGUAUCUUCCAGGAAAAUCCAUGUCUUCCAGAAAAUCUAUGUCUUCCAAUGGUUGCAAGGUCUUCCAGACAAUCCACGUCUUCCAGCAAUUUCAAGGUCUUCCAGCCAAUCCAGGUCUUCCGGAAAAAACUAUGUCUUCCACCAAAUCCAAGUCUUCCAAUCAAUCCAAGUCUUCCAGCUAAUUUAUGUCUUCUGGAAAAAUCCAGGUCUUCCAGUCAAUCGACGUCUUCCGGAAAGAAAUCCAGGUCUUCCACUCAGUCCACGUCUUCCAGAAAAAUCUAUGUCUUCCGCCAAAUCCAUAUCUUCCGGAGAAAUCCAGGUCUUCCAACCAAUGCAUGUCUUCCACCAAUCCAGUCUUCCAGUCAGUCCACGUCUUCCAGACAAAAUUUAUGUCUUCCACUAAGUAAAUCCAGGUCUUCCAGUAAAGCCACGUCUUCCAGAAAAUUUAUGUCUUCCACUAAAUCCAGGUCUUCCAACAAAUAUACGUCUUCCUAGAGAUCCACGUCUUCCGGAAAAUCCAUGUCUUCCAGUAACCUCCAGGUCUUCCAGCAAAUCUACAUCUUCCAAACAAUCCAGGUCUUCCGGACAAUUCGGGUCUUCCUGAAAAUCCACGUCUUCCAGAAAAGCCAUGUCUUCCAGGAAAUCCAUGUCUUCCAGUGACCUCCAAGUCUUCCAGAAAAUUCAUGUCUUCCAUCAAAUCCAUGGCUUCCAGAAAAUCCACGUCUUCCAGCAAAUCCUUGUCUUCCAACAAAGCUGUGUGUCUUCCAUCAAAUUCAUGUCUUCCAGCCUACCCACGUCUUCCAACAAAUUUACGUCUUCCAGAAAAAUCCACGUCUUCCAGAAAAUCCACGUCUUCCAACUAAGCCACGUCUUCCAGAAAAUCCUUGUCUUCCUACAUCUCCAGGGCUUCCAGCAUCUCCAGGGCUUCCAGCAUCUGCUCGUCUUCCGACAUCUCUGCAUCUUCCGGCAUCUGCUCGUCUUCCGGCAUCUCUGCGUCUUCCGGCAUCUCUGCGUCUUCCAGCAUCUCCGCGUCUUCCGGCAUCCCUGCGUCUUCCGGAAUCUGCUCGUCUUCCUGCAUCUGCUCGUCUUCCGGGAUCUCUGCGUCUUCCAACAACUACCCAGUCUUCCAACAGCGGGCUCAAUAUCCACGUCUUCCAGCGUCUCCAGGGUACCGGUCUUCUAACAUUCAGGUCUUCCAGUGUCUACGAUAUCCAGGAUUCACCUGUUUCUUCAAAUAUCACUGACCUCCUAGAUUCCUGACCACUGCCUUGCAUUCAGCUAAUGGUAACUACAACUUCCUAACUCCCAGCAUGCUGAACUAGAGAACUAACUACUUGGUUCUCCA